rnacentral:rRNA from 1 species
UACGGAGGGUGCAAGCGUUACUCGGAAUCACUGGGCGUAAAGAGUGCGUAGGCGGGGUAAUAAGUCAGAUGUGAAAUCCUGUAGCUUAACUACAGAACUGCAUUUGAAACUGUUACUCUGGAGUGUGGGAGAGGUAGGUGGAAUUCUUGGUGUAGGGGUAAAAUCCGUAGAGAUCAAGAGGAAUACUCAUUGCGAAGGCGACCUGCUGGAACAUUACUGACGCUGAUGCACGAAAGCGUGGGGAGCAAACAGG